rnacentral:rRNA from 1 species
UCAGAUUGAACGCUGGCGGUAGGCUUAACACAUGCAAGUCGUGCGAGAAAGUAUCUUCGGAUAUGAGUAGAGCGGCGGACGGGUGAGUAACGCGUAGGAAUCUACCUAGUAGAAGGGGAUAGCCCGGGGAAACUCGGAUUAAUACCGUAUACCUCCUUCGGGAGAAAGAAGGCCUCUCAUUGAAGCUUUCGCUACUAGAUGAGCCUGCGUAAGAUUAGCUUGUUGGUGAGGUAAAGGCUCACCAAGGCGACGAUCUUUAGCGGGUCUGAGAGGACGAUCCGCCACAUUGGGACUGAGACACGGCCCAGACUCCUACGGGAGGCAGCAGUGGGGAAUAUUGGACAAUGGGCGCAAGCCUGAUCCAGCCAUACCGCGUGUGUGAAGAAGGCCCUAGGGUUGUAAAGCACUUUAAGUUGGGAAGAAAAGUYAUUGGUUAAUACCCAAUAGCCGUGACAUUUACCAUCAGAAUAAGGACCGGCUAAUUCCGUGCCAGCAGCCCGCGGUAAUACGGAAGGUCCAAGCGUU